rnacentral:rRNA from 1 species
CGCUCUUUGAAAUACUUAUAUAAAGAGUCGUACCUGCCCAAUGAUAUAUUGAAUGGCCGCAGUAUCUUGACUGUGCUAAGGUAGCAUAAUCCAUAGUUUUUUAAUUGAAAACCUGUAUGAAUGGUUUGACGAAGAUAGCGCUGUCUCUUUUAUAUUAUCUAAAAAUUAUUUUUUAAGUGAAGAAACUUAAAUAAUUUCAAAAGACGAAAAGACCCUAUCGAGCUUUAAAUUUAGUUUAAAUUUAUUUUUUAGUAAAAUUAUUAUUUAAAUAAAAUUUUUUGUUGGGGCAACAAAGGAACCAAAAAAGCUUCUUUUUAUUUAUAUAAUUGAUAGAUUUUUUGAUCUAAGAAUUUUAAUUAGAAAAAAUAGUUACCGUAGGGAUAACAGCAUAAUUUUUCUGGAGAGCUCAAAUUGAAGGAAAAGAUUGUGACCUCGAUGUUGGAUUGGAAAAACUUUUAAAUGCAGCAGUUUAAAUAAGUGAGUCUGUUCGACUUUUAAAUUUCC